rnacentral:rRNA from 1 species
CGGAUUGGAGUCUGCAACCCGACUCCAUGAAGUUGGAUUCGCUAGAAUCGCGCAUCAGCCACGGCGCGGUGAAUACGUUCCCGGGCCUUGUACACACCGCCCGUCAAGCCAUGGAAGCCGGGAGUGCCUGAAGUGCGUGACCGCAAGGAGCGUCCUAAGGCAAUACCGGUGACUGGGGCUAAGUCGUAACAAGGUACC